AGAGUUUGAUCCUGGCUCAGAACGAACGCUGGCGGCGUGCCUAACACAUGCAAGUCGAGCGCGAAAGGGGGGGCAACUCCCUGAGUAGAGCGGCGCACGGGUGAGUAACGCGUGGGUAACCUACCUCCGGGCGGGGGAUAACCACUCGAAAGGGUGGCUAAUACCGCAUGAGACCACGGGGCUUUCGGGUCCUGGGGCCAAAGGCGGCACCGGGGGGAAAGAUUUAUCGCUGUUGGAGGGGCCCGCGUCGGAUUAGCUUGUUGGUGGGGUAAAAGCCUACCAAGGCGACGAUCCGUAGCUGGUCUGAGAGGAUGAUCAGCCACACUGGGACUGAGACACGGCCCAGACUCCUACGGGAGGCAGCAGUGGGGAAUAUUGGACAAUGGGCGCAAGCCUGAUCCAGCCAUGCCGCGUGGGUGAAGAAGGCCCUAGGGUUGUAAAUCCCUUUCAGCGGGGAAGAUAAUGACGGUACCCGCAGAAGAAGCCCCGGCUAACUCCGUGCCAGCAGCCGCGGUAAUACGGAGGGGGCUAGCGUUGUUCGGAAUUACUGGGCGUAAAGCGCGCGUAGGCGGACCUGCAAGUCGGGGGUGAAAGCCCGAGGCUCAACCUCGGAACUGCCUUCGAUACUGCGGGUCUCGAGUCCGGGAGAGGUGAGUGGAAUUCCUAGUGUAGAGGUGAAAUUCGUAGAUAUUAGGAAGAACACCAGUGGCGAAGGCGGCUCACUGGCCCGGUACUGACGCUGAGGCGCGAAAGCUGGGUAGCAAACAGGAUUAGAUACCCUGGUAGUCCACGCUGUAAACGAUGGGCACUAGGUGUCGGCGGUAUUAAUCCCGUCGGUGCUGGCGCUAACGCAGUAAGUGCCCCACCUGGGGAGUACGGUCGCAAGGCUGAAACUCAAAGAAAUUGACGGGGGCCCGCACAAGCGGUGGAGCAUGUGGUUUAAUUCGACGCAACGCGAAGAACCUUACCUGGGCUUGACAUGCACUAGAUCGGCAGUGAAAGCUGUCUUCUCUUCGGAGCUGGUGCACAGGUGCUGCAUGGCUGUCGUCAGCUCGUGUCGUGAGAUGUUGGGUUAAGUCCCGCAACGAGCGCAACCCUCGCCCUCUGUUGCUAACGGGUUAUGCCGUGCACUCUGAGGGGACUGCCGGUUAACGGGGAGGAAGGUGGGGAUGACGUCAAGUCCUCAUGGCCUUUAUGCCUAGGGCUACACGUGCCACAAUGGUCAGGACAAAGGGCUGCUACUUCGCAAGGAGACGCCAAUCCCAAAAACCUGGCCCCAGUUCGGAUGGUCGGCUGCAACUCGCCGGCUUGAAGCUGGAAUCGCUAGUAAUCGGAGAUCAGCACGCUCCGGUGAAUACGUUCCCGGGCCUUGUACACACCGCCCGUCACACCACGAAAGCUGCGUGUACCCGAAGUCGCUGAGCUAACCCGCAAGGGAGGCAGGUGCCGAAGGUAUGCGGGGUGAUUGGGGUGAAGUCGUAACAAGGUAGCC
rnacentral:rRNA from 1 species